rnacentral:rRNA from 1 species
UACGUAGGGGGCUAGCGUUGUCCGGAAUCAUUGGGCGUAAAGCGCGUGUAGGCGGUCCGGUAAGUCCGCUGUGAAAGUCAAAGGCUCAACCUUUGAAAGCCGAUGGAUACUGCCGGGCUGGAGUCCGGAAGAGGCGAGUGGAAUUCCUGGUGUAGCGGUGGAAUGCGCAGAUAUCAGGAGGAACACCAAUAGCGAAGGCAGCUCGCUGGGACGUAACUGACGCUGAGACGCGAAAGCGUGGGGAGCAAACAGG